GCCGGGGUAGCUCAGAGGUAGAGCACGCGGCUGAAAACCGCGGUGUCGGCAGUUCGAUUCUGCCCCCCGGCACCA
rnacentral:tRNA from 1 species